GAUGAAGAACGUAGCGAAAAGCGAUAAGUAAUGUGAAUUGCAGAAUUCAGUGAAUCAUCGAGUCUUUGAACGCACAUUGCGCCCCCUGGUAUUCCGGGGGGCAUGCCUGUCCGAGCGUCAUUGCUGCCCUCAAGCACGGCUUGUGUGUUGGGCCCCCGUCCCCGGUUUCCCCCGGGGACGGGCCCGAAAGGCAGCGGCGGCACCGCGUCCGGUCCUCGAGCGUAUGGGGCUUUGUCACCCGCUCUGUAGGCCCGGCCGGCGCCAGCCGACACCCAACUUUAUUUCUAAGGUUGACCUCGGAUCAGGUAGGGAUACCCGCUGAACUUAAGCAUAUCAAUAAGCGGAGGA
rnacentral:misc_RNA from 1 species